rnacentral:rRNA from 1 species
GUGGAUUAGAUACCCUGGUAGUCCACGCCGUAAACGAUGAGAACUAGGUGUAGCGGGUAUUGACCCCUGCUGUGCCGUAGCUAACGCAUUAAGUUCUCCGCCUGGGGAGUACGGCCGCAAGGCUAAAACUCAAAGGAAUUGACGGGGGCCCGCACAAGCGGUGGAGCAUGUGGUUUAAUUCGACGCAACGCGAAGAACCUUACCUGGGCUUGACAUCCUCUGACAGCCUCGGAAACGAGGUCUUCCCAGCUUGCUGGGACAGAGUGACAGGUGCUGCACGGCCGUCGCCAACU